rnacentral:tRNA from 1 species
GCUCAGUUAGUUCAGUUGGUAGAAUGCUAAAUAUUUUAUUUUUUUAUUAUAGAAACACAGGUUCAAUUCCUGCACUGGGCU